UACGUAGGGCGCAAGCGUUAUCCGGAAUUACUGGGCGUAAAGAGCUCGUAGGCGGUUUGUCGCGUCUGCCGUGAAAGUCCGGGGCUCAACUCCGGAUCUGCGGUGGGUACGGACAGACUAGAGUGAUGUAGGGGAGACUGGAAUUCCUGGUGUAGCGGUGAAAUGCGCAGAUAUCAGGAGGAACACCGAUGGCGAAGGCAGGUCUCUGGGCAUUAACUGACGCUGAGGAGCGAAAGCAUGGGGAGCGAACAGG
rnacentral:rRNA from 1 species